UACGGAGGGUGCAAGCGUUAUCCGGAAUCACUGGGUUUAAAGGGUGCGUAGGCGGCCCAAUAAGUCAGCUGUGAAAUCGCUGGGCUCAACCCAUGCAAUUGCAGUUGAUACUGUCGGGCUUGAAUGGGGUUGAGGCUGGCGGAAUGCGGCAUGUAGCGGUGAAAUGCUUAGAUAUCUGGAGGAACACCGGUGGCGAAGGCGGCAUCCUGGACCGGUAUUGACGCUGAGGAGCGAAAGCCAGGGGAGCAAACGGG
rnacentral:rRNA from 1 species